rnacentral:lncRNA from 1 species
AGUUUGAAAAGUUCAUGACAGCUCACAGCUCACGAUGGUGGCAAUCUUAAGGAUACAGAAAGCUCAUUCCUCAUGCAGGGAAGAAGAAAAUAUUCUAAAGAAGAGAUAAGCAUAUUCCGCGAAAUCAAAAAAGGCUGUUCUUAUUGUUGUGAUACCUUGGGGAACACAAAUGGAGUUGAGUGGGUCCCAGAGGAAAAGCCUACCCAGAACCUGCUCAAUGCUAGAAGCUCGGCAACUGCUAACAACCAGCUGGAGGGAAGGCUGCAGAAGGGACAUCAUAUGACUUCAGAGUCUCAGCAGCAAAAGGCCUUUCAGCUUCUGCUUUCAGGCUGUCAUUGCUGUGAGAUAGGAAGCCUGGGCUAG